AAUAAACCAACAUUGCGGAGUCACCUGUCAGUGAGCAGCUGAGCGACUGCCAGGGUUCCUUCACGCUUACGUCUUUUACUGUAGAGACACAAACUCUGCAGACAUGACAGAAGAGGCUCCGACGAGUUCUGCAGGCAUGACGGAGGAGGUUAAAGAACUUAUCUUGAAGGACGUGAACCUCCACUGUCCGACCAACAACUUCUCCCACCACACCAGUGAGAUCUCCCUGACGGAGCUGUUUGUGAGGCGAGGUCUGGCCUUCACUCUGACCCUCACUCUGUCGCAGCCUUUCAAACCAAAACUUUACCCGCUCACCAUGGUCGCAAUGACAGGUUUGGUUACAUCCGAGGAACAAGGCACAAUUUCGUACUUUGGUAUCCCCGACAGCGUGAUCCGGUCACCGUCAGCAAAGGCUGUGUGGAAGGCAGCGCUUGAGGAGGAGAAGUCCUCCCCAGAGAAAGGCGUCUUGGUUCUAAACAUCACCCCCCCGGCUAACGCCCCCAUAGGAGCGUAUGUACUCACUGGGAAAUACAGGGAAGAGGAAAUGUUGCUGGCAAAGCCGGUGGUGUUCUUCAACCCCUGGUGUCCUGAUGACACGGUGUAUCUAUCCGACGAGAAGGAAAGACAAGAGUAUGUGAUAAGUGAACAAGGAAUCAUCUACGGAGGAACUGGAAACUACAUCUCCGACCGCACGUGGGACUUCGGACAGUUUGAGGACGACAUGGCGAGGAUUUGUAUUAAGUUGCUGGACGUUAACCCCAAACACGCGGAAAACCCAGCUGACGAUGUCUGUAGUCGCUCUGAUCCCGUCUACGUCAGCCGUGUGAUCAGCGCCAUGAUCAAUGCUGAUGGCGACCAUGGCGUCGUGAUGGGAAGGUGGGGGGGUCCGUUUACUGCCGGGUAUAAACCCACUCACUGGACCGGCAGCCACGCCAUCCUCCAACGUUGGUACGACUAUGGCUGCCAACCGGUCAGAUACGGCCAGUGCUGGGUGUUUGCUGGCGUGAUGUGUUCAGUGAUGCGUCUGCUGGGCAUCCCCUGCCGCGUGGUCUCCAACUACGAGUCAGCCCACGACACUAACAAAAAUCUGAUCAUCGACGUGUACCACGCAGACUACGGUGUCGCAGGGAAAAAAUCUCCUGACAGUGUUUGGAACUACCAUGUGUGGGUGGAGGGCUGGAUGAAACGUCCAGACCUGGAGGAAGGUGAUAAGUACGACGGAUGGCAAGUUCUGGAUCCGACACCACAGGAGAAGAGCAAUGGUGUUUACUGCUGCGGUCCAGCCUCGGUCAAAGCCAUCCGGAGCGGAAACAUCGACCUGAAGUACGACAUCCCGUUCAUCUUCGCUGAGGUCAACGCGGACUGUGUGGACUGGCUGGUCAAAGCUGACGGCUCGAAAAUGAAGAUCUUCUCCGACACCAAGAGAAUCGGUCAGAACAUCUCCACCAAGUCUGUCGGCUUGAGAAAGAGGAGGAACAUCACCGACACCUACAAGCACAAGGAGGGGUCCGACAAGGAGAGGGACGUCUUCAAGUACGCCCUCACCAGAGACCUCACCAUAGACAAGGAGGAGGGGGACAGCGGGGUGGAGACGGAGAAUGACACAGGAGCAGAGAAUCAGACGGGAGGAGCAGGUGAAGAGACGGAGGGGAACGGGGCAGUGAUCGAUACCUCGGGAGGAGCAGGUGAAGAGACGGAGGGGAACGGGGCAGUGAUCGAUACCUCGGGAGGAGCAGGUGAGGGCGUCCCGGAGGUCACGCCACCCUCCGAUGUGUCCAUGCGAUUUGAGGAGUUGUCCAAACCAAUGAACGGGAAGGACGUGAGCAUGAAGCUGUUGCUUCACAGCAAGUCCACUUUCUCCAGGCUGCUGUCCAUCAACAUCAGCGUCCAGGCCAUGAGCUACAACGGCUCCUCGGCCGGGAACAUCCAGUCCGAGGUGAAGGAGGAGACCAUGCAGCCUGGGACAGAACUGUCCGUCCCCAUCCUGGUCCCGUUCUCGGCCUAUCACAAGCUCAUGGUGGAGUGUGACAGCAUGAAGGUCACAGCCAUGGUCAAUGACAAAUACAAGCCGGAGCAAGUCUACCUGGCGGAGAAUGACAUUGUGCUGACGGAUCCUCCUUUCACCUUAACAGUUUCCAGUACGACCAGACUGCAACAAGAAACCAGUGGAGUAUUGAUUUUCAAGAACCCGGUAGACGAGACGCUGACGGGAUGCACACUGACUCUGUCUGGAAGUGGAAUAUUUAAAAAGGAGGAGGACUGCAGGCUCCCGGACCUGGCACCAAAACAACAGUUCCGUAUCAACAUCUUCUUUUAUCCCUACAAGACGGGAAAGAAGACGAUCACGGCCGUCUUCGACUGCUCCACCUUCAGGGACAUCCAGACCACCUGCGAGAUCGAGGUCAAAGAGUAACGUCUCAACUCCGCAGAGUCUCGUUCUAAGGUCACAAGCUAAAACAAAAAAAAGCUAAAAUCUUCGGCGGCUUAAAGGAGAUUUAUUGAGCUCAUGUUCAGGUUUGUCUGGGUCCGAUGUCUUCGCUACAACAGGAACUAUUUUUCAUCCGUCCCGUGUCACGAAAGUUAUCAACAAACACACACUCUCGCUCGCUGUGAUUGUUCCGGACAUUCCUCCGCUAUUUCAGGAAAAUGUCUAGAGUUCACUGCGGCUCUAAAAACAGCUUUAACUUUCACUUCAUUAAGUUACCUCAAUAAGAGAGAUAACAAACAUGUGUUUCUCAGUCAAAUAUCGGUGCAGGGUACAAAAAGCUUUUCAACAAACCGCUGUGAACUUCACUCAGAACCAAAAAGCUUUCUCGAAGCAACUCAUUAUUCACUUUUAUAUGAUAAAGCCCGGUGAUGGACCACUGCUUAAAAAAGAAGAACAAUGAGAAAGAUGCCAAACAUACGACACAUGAACAUUUACAUGUAUCUACUUAAAUUCGUUGAUUUCUUUUAAGGUCUGACUUGGAUCCCAGCUGGUUUUUAAAGUCUGAUCCUGAAACUAGAUUCUCAUCAGAAUGUUUGAAUUUGCUUGAACAAAGUUAUUCAGUUGUUUUGUUCUUGAGGAUAAAUCUCCUGCCGGGAUCUCCAGGUAACAGCGGCCUCUGCUGGACAGACUGAAAACAAACUCUUCAUUCUCUAAAAUAGAAACCCAACAACUGCGGCUCCCCGUCUCAUGAUGCAUUCAGGAAAACAUGGUAGAAAAGGUUCUCAACUCAGGGGUAAAGCUUUUUCUCUUAUCGAAGAUUUCAGGCCAAGUCAAGUCAACAACACAACUGCUGGUGACCAAAUAAAAUGAAUACAUCUUCAAACGUACAAGGGACAUUCACUAUCUUGUCCUAUAUUCUAAAAUGUAAACACAAUGGGAAAGGUUCAUGUUUUUUAUGUGUUUCCACGGUGCUUUGCCACAAGGAUUUUUUCUUUCUGUUGUUGGGGGUGAAUAAAGAUCUUAACUGAAAAGUGUU